CGACGAGCGAGAGAGAGCUUGCUUUCUCGAGCGAGUGGCGAACGGGUGAGUAACGCGUGAGGAACCUGCCUCAAAGAGGGGGACAACAGUUGGAAACGACUGCUAAUACCGCAUAAGCCCACGGGUCGGCAUCGACCAGAGGGAAAAGGAGCAAUCCGCUUUGAAAUGGCCUCGCGUCCGAUUAGCUAGUUGGUGAGGUAAUGGCCCACCAAGGCGACGAUCGGUAGCCGGACUGAGAGGUUGAACGGCCACAUUGGGACUGAGACACGGCCCAGACUCCUACGGGAGGCAGCAGUGGGGAAUAUUGCACAAUGGGGGAAACCCUGAUGCAGCGACGCCGCGUGGAGGAAGAAGGUCUUCGGAUUGUAAACUCCUGUUGUUGAGGAAGAUAAUGACGGUACUCAACAAGGAAGUGACGGCUAACUACGUGCCAGCAGCCGCGGUAAAACGUAGGUCACAAGCGUUGUCCGGAAUUACUGGGUGUAAAGGGAGCGCAGGCGGGAAGACAAGUUGGAAGUGAAAUCUAUGGGCUCAACCCAUAAACUGCUUUCAAAACUGUUUUUCUUGAGUAGUGCAGAGGUAGGCGGAAUUCCCGGUGUAGCGGUGGAAUGCGUAGAUAUCGGGAGGAACACCAGUGGCGAAGGCGGCCUACUGGGCACCAACUGACGCUGAGGCUCGAAAGUGUGGGUAGCAAACAGGAUUAGAUACCCUGGUAGUCCACA
rnacentral:rRNA from 1 species